GUAUCUCGAAGCUUAGGAAAUUGUUUCCUUUGUAUUUGGAUGUUGAAGGACUUGCUGGCUUAUUUAAUCAGCUCCUUUUAAAUGCAUUAGCAGGACUUGGCAAGCCUAGCUUCAGUUUGAUACACUUUUGUUAUCUGAGCUGUCGCAGGGAAUUGCAUCAUUGUCUCGCUUUCAAAUUGUCCCACUUGGGGACUUUUGUCAUCUGGACAGAAUUAUAAUAUUAA
rnacentral:misc_RNA from 1 species